rnacentral:sRNA from 1 species
GCCCGGCAUGGCGGGGCACACCUGUAAUCCCAGCAGCUCGGGAGGCUGAGGCAGGAGGGUCACUAGUAUGAGGCCAACCUCAGCAAUUUAGUGAUACCCUAAGCAACUUAGUGAAACCCUGUCUCAA